GGCCUAAUGGUCUAGUCGUAUGAUUGUUGCUUCGGGUAAAACCCUCACUGUUGAACAGUGGCUCUCAAGAGUUUGUGACAGGUCCUGGGUUCAAUUCCCAGUUAGGCCC